AUUGAACGCUGGCGGCAGGCCUAACACAUGCAAGUCGAACGAGUGGCGGAAGGGAGAGUAAUGUCUGGGAAACUGCCUGAUGGAGGGGGAUAACUACUGGACACGGUAGCUAAUACCACAUACCCUCAGAUGUGCCCAGAUGGGAUUAGCUUGUUGGGGGGGUAACGUCUCACCAAGGAGACGAUCCCUAGCUGGUCUGAGAGGAUGACCAGCCACACUGGAACGGAGACACGGUCCAGACUCCUACGGGAGGCAGCAGUGGGGAAUAUUGCACAAUGGGCGCAAGCCUGAUGCAGCCAUGCCGCGUGUAUGAAGAAGGCCUUCGGGUUGUAAAGUACUUGCAGCGGGGAGGCGUUACCCGCAGAAGAAGCACCGGCUAACUCCGUGCCAGCAGCCGCGGUAAUUC
rnacentral:rRNA from 1 species